rnacentral:rRNA from 1 species
CCUCAGUUAGCGGCGAGUGAAGCGGCAAGAGCUCAGAUUUGAAAUCUCACCUAGUGUGCGAGUUGUAAAUUGCAGGUUGGAGUCUCGGGUUAGACGUGUGUGCAAGUCCCUUGGAACAGGGUGCCACUGAGGGUGAGAGCCCCGUAUCGUGCAUGUCGACACCUGUGAGGCCCUUCUGACGAGUCGAGUUGUUUGGGAAUGCAGCUCUAAGUGGGUGGUAAAUUCCAUCUAAGGCUAAAUAUUGGCGAGAGACCGAUAGCGAACAAGUACUGUGAAGGAAAGAUGAAAAGCACUUUGAAAAGAGAGUGAAACAGCACGUGAAAUUGUUGAAAGGGAAGGGUAUUGGGCUCGACAUGGGAUUUACGCAUCGUUGCCUCUCGUGGGCGGCGCUCUGGGUUUUUCCUGGGCCAGCAUCGGUUUUCGUUGCAGGAUAAGGACAAUUGGAAUGUGGCUCCUCGGAGUGUUAUAGCCUUUUGUAGAUGCUGCGUAUGGGGACCGAGGGCUGCGGCGGACUCGUUUCGUCUCGGAUGCUGGCACAACGGCGCAAUACCGC